AUUUGAGGAGACGCAGACACGGUCUUUGAGUCGCAGUUCUAAGCAGUCUGGACUUCUCUUCAUAGGAAGCUCCUCUGGACGCUAGCGGUUUCUUCUGUGACACAGGUGUCAAAAGCCCUUUGUGUGUCAUGGCUAUUAAUACAGAAAGAUGCUUAUUCCAUUUACUCUUGUAUGAUAAUCAUGGCAAGAACAUAUAAGCCAAAGAAGAAAAAGUCUAAGUAACUUAUUUAUGACAUAUCAUCUUUAAUAUGUUUUUAAGUAAGUAAUCAUGAACUUAGGCCACUG
rnacentral:lncRNA from 1 species